AACGAACGCUGGCGGCAUGCCUAACACAUGCAAGUCGAACGAGACCUUCGGGUCUAGUGGCGCACGGGUGCGUAACGCGUGGGAACCUGCCCUUAGGUUCGGAAUAACUCCCCGAAAGGGGUGCUAAUACCGGAUAAUGUCUUCGGACCAAAGAUUUAUCGCAUUUGGAUGGGCCCGCGUUGGAUUAGCUAGUUGGUAGGGUAAAAGCCUACCAAGGCGACGAUCCAAAGCUGGUCUUGGAGGAUGAUCAGCCACACUGGGACUGGCACACGGCCCAGGCCCUCCCGGAAGGGCGCAUGGGGGAAGUUGGAACACCGGGCGAAAGCUUAACCCCUCCUGCCCGGAGAAGUGAGGAAGGCGUUAGGUUUUAAAAUCUCUUUUACCCGGGAUGUUAAGGCCAUACCCGGGAGAAAAGCCCCCGCUAAAUCCGUG
rnacentral:rRNA from 1 species